GGGUGGGAAGGAAGACUGCUGAAUGGAAAGGCAGGAAGAGAGACAUUUGGGAUCAAGCCAUCCCAGACCAGAGCCAUCUUCCCUGUCCAGCUCUGAACCCUGGGUUCUCCUUUCAUGGUGCUCAUGGUUUCUCCUUUCAUGGUGCAGCGGAGUUCACACUAGUCAGUGUUCUGCUAGAUGGAAAGGUUACCACAGCCCCACCCCUCCUGGGCCUCCCUCCUCUUAGCCAAGUUUCUCCCUUCUUCACAUUUUGCCCUUCCUAGGUAGUUGGAGUCUAGUUCCUAUGUCAAUGCCAGCCAUAACUGGGGGCACAGGGGAGCAAGUGACUGUGCAAAGCCACUUCCAAGCUGUGGACACAGGGCUGAGAAAUGGAAAAACCUACCAGUACCCAUUCCGGCUUUGACCUGGCUGGGGCAGCCUUGGGUCAAGUCCUCUCAGUAGUCCUGGUUUCCACCAACAUCAGGAAGGGGAGCUGCCAGAGCCAUCUAGGCAGGCACCCCAGGACUGUGCCAGCCAGGUGCCAAGCCAACCUGGGAGAGAAGCAUCCCUCAGCCAGGAUCUCUACAAGGACACGUCUGCUCCAUGAGGAAAACUUAGGUGCUUUAUUCUCAGCCUUUAUUACAAAGGCACAACGGCCCAGUUGUUGUUACCCUGGACUCAAACUGUUUGGAGACCAGGUUGGGCUCUGAGCAAUUCUUCAGUUAGGAAGUUACAGCAGCAUUUACCGAAGCAGCCUGCUGGAAACCAUAAAUAAGGGAGCAAGAAGUAGCCUCAAGAAGAAACAAACUUUAGGAGAAUGUGCACUGAGAAAAGCCAGAUGGAGUCCCCCUGGAUCAAGUUAAUUAAGAAAUAAACAUGACGGUAUACUGGAGUCAAAACCAAGGAAUGCGGUUUGCACCUGGCUUUUGGGAUUCAGCAGUCCCACCGACGGAGCACCAGCUAACAGGCUGGGAGCUUUGUCAGCAAGUUCUUAAACGGCUCAUAAUUCUGCUAAGAGCUUGCGGGUAUCUAGCUGGUGUUCAAGGACCCAAGUGCAAACAUUACGAGGUUUAUGUCCACGUCGCAGUCUAAGGCAAGAGGUCAUCUGCCCUUUGGGGGGGGGGGGUGGUGCCCUCAUGUCCUGACACACCAUCUCUCCAUUGGGGUAUAUCGGGAAGCAGGCUGGCUUCUAGGCCCCGCAGUGCCCAUAUGGUUGGCGCCGUCUGCAUUUUAAGCACUCCCUCGCCCCUCUCUGCACUCGGGAGGGCCCUGAAUCGCCGGUAGGUACCGAGUCAGAAUGCAGGAGGGUCCCCCAACACAGGGCUAGCGAGAGGAGCGUGGGCCGCCUCCUCGGGGCAGACCCAGGCUAUGUCCACAGGCCGGAAGCACUGAGGUGGGUAGGCAACUGGGUGAAGGGGGUGCCAGGCACGCCCGGGUGCCCGCACCUCUCACCAGCCCCCGGAAGCGCCGCCCUCCCGCCCCAGCGGGCUCCGAGGGGGCGGGGAGUCGAACGCCCCUUCCGGGUGCCUCCGCCCGGCUGGCCAUCCCCGCUCCUCCUCCGGGCGGGAAUCCUCCCUCCCCCGCCCCUCCCGGAGCCGGGCCCCGGCGCCAGGCCCGGUCCCAGGGGGGAACCCCGGCCCCGGCUUCCCCUCCCUGCGGCCUCUGCCCGUCUUCCCGACCCUUGGGGGCCGGAAAGACCCCGCCGGCAGCGGUCAGGACCCACCGCUCAUUACGACAUCUUCCUCCCUGGCCUCCGCCGCCUCCGCCGCCACCGAGAGCCUGACACCGCCCGCCCAGCACCCGCCAAUCCCGGAGCCCGCCACCGCCCGAGCGACGGCAGCGUUCACCAAUAAGAGUUCAGUACAUUGGGGACCGACAGCACUAGUAUCCAAUCAGAGAGAGGCGUCUAGAGCGACGUUGGUUUGGCCAAUAGGCUUGUGAAAUGUCACUGAUGGACAGUAGAGGGCACCAACCGGAAACCUACUGAAGAGUGAACGACAUGUUCGUCGGCCAAUUGGCGGGACGUGAAGUCCCGCCUACGAGGUGGUUGAUGGACAGCAACAGGAAGCUAGAUGGGGAGGGGCUUAGCUGAGGAGUGGUUUUGUAUUGGUCGUGGUUGACCUUCCACCCACCUCGAACCCAAAAGAUGAGUGAUAGAUCUACCCCAAAGCCAAUCAGAAGUCCUUAGGGUGAGGCCCAGAAAUGCCCUAUAAAUAGUACACGCUUUACACCUCAAUCUAGUGUCGCCCUGGAGUGGCGGGAGCCACCUGCUUUUCGGCUACUCAAACCCCUUGGCUGGUGAGUGGGAAGCCACCAGCCUUUUUUUUUUUUAAUUUCCCUCGCCUUUAUCGCUUCGGGAGAGGGAAAUGAGCCCCCAGGUGACUUUGUACCGCGAGGCAUCGGAGUUCAACACAAUAGCGGGAGUUGGGCUACGUGACACUUCUGAGAGAAGGGAUUAUUUCUCCAUCUCAGUUCAAGCCCCUGUUCAUCCUCACCUAGUUAUUGCAGCGACCCGCCCCUCCCCUCCCCCCACAACGGACGGUCCACCCAGAAUCACCUGAAGCUCUCUAAAAGGAGAUUCCCGGGGCUGCCGCUCAUAAUCCGAUUCUGUGCGUCUAGGGCACUCUUGGAAUAUACAUUCUGUCCAGCACCUUGGGCGGACAGAGAGUUGGGCCUUUCCGAUUUACCUCCUUGAAUGAGGUGCUGUGUGAGUACAUACAGCCCUUGGGAGGCGCGACCCGGGUACGUUUUUCUUUCCCAGGUCUGCUGUACAUGCGUAACUUGGGCAGGCUGCCUGGCAUUACUGAGCAGGAAUCCACGCUGGCUUCAGACCAGCCUGGGUUUGAAAUUUACGUCCCACUUACAGAGGGGCAGGGUACUGAAACUCCCUGCGCCUUACGUCCUCACCUGCAAAUGAGGCUAGUCACACCUACACUUACAGCAGCGGCUUCUCUUUCUUUUUUAAACACCAUAAGCCGCAGUGAGAAAUAACAUUUGAAUCCCGACACAGUACCCUAAAACUCAGGUGAAAAUGUGUAGCAAAGUUUCCAAAAACAAUACUAAACCUUUCUACCCGCGACGCCCUGAUAAUUUCUAUAGUUAUUCUCCUUUCCCCCUUCCCUCCCUUCCUUUUUUUUCGUUCCUUUUCUUGAUCUUGACUGGCAGCUUGAAAAAAGCUAUCAUAAAGGGUUGGAGUGACCAAAUAAAAUACAGAGCCCAAUGCCCAGUA